UGUUGUUCCCGUUUGUUCUUGCGAGAGUUCUGCCGCAGGGAAUCCCCGUUACGUCAUGGGAUCGGAUGAUUUACACUUCCGAUAAAAGAAGAGGGUUUACCGGCGUUCUGACGCAAUUCUCUGACUGCUCACUGUGAAAAUUUUCGUACUUUGUGAUCGAGUUCAAGCCAGACAGUGACAACAGUGCCUAGGGUCAAAGAAUACGAUGGUCACAGAAUUUGGUGUAACACCGGCGUUCUGGAGCAACUCUUUGACUGCUCACUGUGAAACAUUGCGAUCGAUCGCUCAGUUCAUCUUAUUGUUGUCUUAGUCUGUGACUGUUACGUCUCUUGUUGUGGAAAUAUCACACUUGUGGAAUAUAGAGACUCGUUGGAUUAUUUCUCCUUGGGGAUUCCGUCACAGGACAGCUGUCCCUCGUCGAGCUCCUGGACUUUAAAACACUUCACCGCAUCGGCAGAAGCCACCACAUUUUGGCGCCCAACAUGGGGCUGGAAAGGAGCAGAGGGUGGAGAACCACUUUGGGCUGGCUUAACGAACAACAUUUUUAGUGGCCACUAAAUAAUAAAGGUAGGCAGUUUUUUUGCUUAUAUAAUAAAUGUUGUUUGCAUUUACAUUUGCAUUGACACUCGAAAAUGCUCCUCCAAAUUUAAAGAACAAAAAGAAAAAAGUUUUGAUUCCAGAAGAAAUAAUAGCAUGCACUGAUCUGUUUUACUAUAAUAGUGAAUGAGGGCAGAUUGUGCAUGCAAAAAUCUGUGUUUACUGCCAAGAGGGCCUUUGACGGAUGGCAGUAGACAUUAAGCAGAUAUACAUUGCAUGCAAUGGUCUGUGUUUAUUGAUGAGUGGGCCUUGAUGGACAUCAAUGGACGUUAAGCAGAUACAGUAAAGGAAAGUGCGCAAAGUCCUAUGGCUAGGCAAAAAAUCCUGCAGAGUGCUGUUUUUUUUAACUGUGUUGAGGAAGUGUAUCAGUAAAAGAACGAGUAACCGCAAGUCACUUAGGAAGAGUGUAGAGUAGUCUGUGUAAAUGUAUGUGUCUGUGUCUGUCUGAGUGUAUUUGUAACUUGUGGUUGUAUGAUAAAAUAAACUCUAUAUCUGGUGGAGCAAAAGGUGUGUGCCCCUCCUGAACUGUCACUUGAGUGUGAUCAGGUCACGGAGACGGACGCAGCUGGUGUUGCGCUGGAGAAGAGUGAAUGAGUCUGUGAGCCCUAAACAAUAAAGGGACUUGUAUGAAUGUUGUUUUAGAAAAAAAAAAAGUAUGCCAAUAUAUGGAU
rnacentral:lncRNA from 1 species